CAAGGGCAUGGGUGGCAUCUUCCCUGUGCGUCCUGCCGCCCUUCUUCAUAGCUGUGGCAGACACUGCAGCAGCCAGAGAAGCACAAACCAGCAGGAGAGGCAAGUUCGCAGACUUUCAGGUGUCAGCUUUUCUCUUGAGCUACAGGCCCAGUCUUAUCACUAAGUCUCUGCAGUUCAAAUCAAAAAUUAGAAGCAUUAGUUCAACCAGUGUUGGCCAAGACGAGACAAUCCCCUCUAACUGCGACCGUCAUUGAUUCAGUGAUUUCUCCUCAAGUCAGCUAUUCCUCUGCAUGGGGAACACGGAUUUUCUAAGGACUUCACAUCACCACACUGGACACAGGGAAAGGCACAGAGGUGGUGAGCCCAUCCUUGGCUAUGGUUUCAAGGAAAGGAUAUAGUGUCACC
rnacentral:lncRNA from 1 species